UCAACUUGAGAGUUUGAUCCUGGCUCAGAACGAACGCUGGCGGCAGGCCUAACACAUGCAAGUCGAGCGAACCCUUCGGGGUUAGCGGCGGACGGGUGAGUAACGCGUGGGAACGUGCCCUUUGCUACGGAAUAGCCCCGGGAAACUGGGAGUAAUACCGUAUGUGCCCUUCGGGGGAAAGAUUUAUCGGCAAAGGAUCGGCCCGCGUUGGAUUAGGUAGUUGGUGGGGUAAUGGCCUACCAAGCCGACGAUCCAUAGCUGGUUUGAGAGGAUGAUCAGCCACACUGGGAC
rnacentral:rRNA from 1 species